AAAUAGAUUGUUACAUAUGUAUGCAAAACGUGGCAUCAUGAAAUUAAUAUUUAUUUUUCAAUUACUUAUUGCAAGUAUAAUAAAAAUGAAGCUCCUAAUCAUCAUAAUUUCUUUUGUUUUUGAAAUGGAAUAAUUAUAUUAAUUGUGCUUCAUAAAAAAAGUAGAAUACUAAAGGACCAAAUGAUAAGCAUUGACAAUACAUGUAGCUAAAUUAUUUAUACAAAUCAAAGUUUAAUUUUUUUUUAGCAAAAAUAGCUAAGUAACUAAUACAAGUCAAAGAAAAAAAAAAUUAGCAAAAAUAAUCUCUAAUUAUGCUCCCCCUUCCUCUUCUAUCAUCUUUCUUUGCAAGGAUAUCCGCCAUCAUAUUUUGCGUUAUAUGUCAAAUUGCUCAUCAUAAGCUAUCAAUUGAAUAAAAAAAAGUUAUAUGAGUAAAUAAAAUAUCAUAUACCAAUUCAAAAAUAAUUAUAUUAAAAGAAAGAAGAAAUUUAAAUUAUAUGUAAUUUAUCUAUAUAUUAUUUUUUCAAUAGUACUAACAAUACUAAAUAAUAAUCAUCUCUUGAAAUCUAACAAAUAUUAUAAUCAGAUUAUAAUAUAUCCCGAAAAUUGACUAUUAGAAAGAAAAAUUGCAUACUGACAAGACAUUAUUCAUUAUUACUAAGGUAUUUUUUUUAACUUUCUUGCUUAGUGAAUGAUAAUACAUACAUAAUAAAAUAUUAAGAAAGCAUGCCCAAGUAAAUAAAAAUAAAAAGAAAGACUUGAGAAUAAAAUAUAUCUUACCUUCAUAUACUUCUUUUUUGUGACAUGUUAGUUAAUUCACAACAAAUAUGAUGAAGAAGAGAAAUGAUAUUGCUGAAUGUGAAUCUUAAUGAAAUUAAAUGAAUUUAUAUAGGUAAAAUAGAGGAAAUGAAAAAAUAAAGACUUGAGAAUGAAACAUUUCUUACCUUCAUGAACGUUUUUUUUUUGUUACUUGAGUGUAAAUCUUCAUGAAAUUAAAUAUGAAUUUAUAGGUAAAUUAAAGAAAUAAGACAUUAUAAACUUACAAAUUUAAGUUUGGAGGUUAUGGACAUAAAAAUUAUGGGAGUUAUGAAUAAUUUUAAAAUUAAAAAUUAAAGAGGUGUAAGUCAUGGAUAAUAAAUCCUUGUGAAUAAAUUAAAUAAUAAAGAGAAAAAUACUUAAAAUAUAAAAUAUUUACUUGAGAUUGAUAGGGGAUGGUAUGAGGUUCCCUGGAAGUGCCUAAUGUUCAGUACUACUGCUCGACCAAAGGCUGUGUUUAUUAUGUGGUUGCAGCUGCAAGCUAAGUUGCUCACUAAAGAUAGGUUACUGAAAUGGGGAUCCAAGGUGGAGCCACAAUGCAUGUUGUGUCAAAAUGAGGAUGAAACUCGCGAUCACUUGUUUGUGAAGUGUUCUUAUACUAGACGACUAUGGGAUGGGUUUGCUAGAUGGAUGCAAAUGACGUCUGAUAUAGGUGGGAAUUGGCAGCAACACCUUACCUGGGCUCUGAAGAAUGCAAAGGGGAAGACUAUAAGAGCUCAGAUUUUCAGAAUGGUAUAUGUUGAAGCUGUGUAUGCAGUAUGGAUUGAGAGGAAUCAAAGAGUGUUCGAGCAGAGGACAAAAGGAGUAGAUAGGAUUAUUAGAACUAUUGCCUUUAUUUGUAAUGUUAGGGCUUCCUCAAGGACUAGGCCUUUAGUUCAGUCUUAGUUGGUAUAAGAGUGGAUGUGAGGAUUUAUGUGUAUAGCAUGUAGAGGAGAGUGGGGAUAGUGUCUAUUCAGUAUUCAGGAUCAAGCUAACUAUGGAUGUUGGCUGCUUUGUAUUGCUUUACAUGUGAUUAAUGGAAACAAGUUAGUUACCUAAAAACAUAAAAUAAAUAAGAUAAGAUAAAAGAUAAAUAAAAAACUAAACUGAAAAAAGCUCAAGUCAUUAAGGGUAUAAACUUUAGUGUUAUUUAAAACUUGAAAGGAAUAAUUUGUAACAUAAAUUUUUAAACUUUUAUGUUAAAGAUUAAAAAUAUUCUAGAAAAUAAGAAAAGGGAAAGAAUUGAAAAAAUAGAUGAAUAUGAAAUUAUGAAUCAUAACCCAAG
rnacentral:lncRNA from 1 species